rnacentral:rRNA from 1 species
UAAGGAAUAUUGGUCAAUGGACGCAAGUCUGAACCAGCCAUGCCGCGUGAAGGAUGAAGGUCCUCUGGAUUGUAAACUUCUUUUAUCUGGGACGAAAACGGGAUUUUUAUCUCAAUUGACGGUACCAGAGGAAUAAGCACCGGCUAACUCCGUGCCAGCAGCCGCGGUAAUACGGAGGGUGCGAGCGUUAUCCGGAUUCACUGGGUUUAAAGGGUGCGUAGGCGGAUAUGUAAGUCAGUGGUGAAAUCAACGGGCUCAACCUGUUAACUGCCAUUGAUACUGUGUAUCUUGAAUAUGAGAGAGGUAGGCGGAAUGUUGCAUGUAGCGGUGAAAUGCUUAGAUAUGCUACGGAACACCGAUUGCGAAGGCAGCUUACUAUUUCGUAAUUGACGCUGAGGCACGAAAGCGUGGGUAGCGAACA